rfam:Caenorhabditis remanei strain PB4641 contig0.28, whole genome shotgun sequence.
UUGUGACCGUUGUUACGGUCAAUUUCAUUCAGAAGCUAUGACCGUAAUCCCGUUCACAACA